rnacentral:rRNA from 1 species
UACGGGGGGGGCAGGCGUUGUUCGGAAUUACUGGGCGUAAAGGGCUCGUAGGUGGCCAACUAAGUCGGACGUGAAAUCCCUCAGCUUAACUGGGGAACUGCGUCCGAUACUGGAUGGCUUGAGUUUGGGAGAGGGAUGCGGAAUUCCAGGUGUAGCGGUGAAAUGCGUAGAUAUCAGGAGGAACACCUGCGGUGUAGACGGCUUUCUGGACCAUUACUGACACUGAGACACGAAAGCGUGGGUAGCAAACAGG